rnacentral:tRNA from 1 species
UAGGCAGAGGCCUGAUGGUUUGGGCAUGUAGCUGUUAACUACAGAGUCAUGGGAUCGAAGCCCAUCUGUCUAG